UGAAAUACUUAAAUGCCCUUCUUGUAGUUGGUGAGUGUGUGCGGUCGGGUAGUGUUGGUGAGGUUGUUUUGGUAGUUUGGCAUCCUCGGAUUGCCGUUUGGGGUGUGCAGAUUCUGUUUUUUUUUUUUUUAAUAGGUUUUUGGACUUUCAAGGUUUUCCAUCCAUGUCCCUUUUCGUGUGUUGUAGUUUAGGCAUUGAGGUUUAAGGUGGGGGUGUUUCCGUAAAGUUGUUCAUGGAUUUGGUAUUCAGUUUCAUCAUGGUCUCAACUCCUCCAUUUAUUAUUGCUCUGUUGGAUCCUUUAAAAAAGGAAUAAGAAUUCCAUAGUAUCCGAUGGAACAAAUCUAGCAUUAGAUACCAAAUCUUGUACUAACUUUUAUAGCAUCAUUGAAAUUGUAGGAUCAUAACUGCAUGAAUCUCAGCAAUAACGUUGCUCGGAUUCAAUGAGUCAUGCUUUCAACUCUUGCAUUUAUGAUUGCUCGAUUGUAUCGUUAAAAAAAGGAAUAAGAAUUCCUUAGUAUCCGAUGGAAGAAAUCUAGCAUUAGAUACCAAAUCUUGUACUACCUUUUACAGCAUCAUUAAAAUCGUAGGAUGAGGAUUGAAGACUGUCCUCUAGAUUUCGGAGCAGAGGCAAAGGCAAUU